CUUAUCAAGAGCGGUGGAGGAAACAGGUCCUGUGAAGCCCGGCAACCUGCAUAAUAACGUAAGGUGCCAAAUCCUGCGGGUAUUCCGAAAGAUGAGG
rnacentral:ncRNA from 1 species